AUUAAAUUGGCAGAGUUUAUGCGAUUGAUUUAGGAUCAAUAGAGAUAGGUGAAAUUCCUAUAUUUAAUA
rnacentral:tRNA from 1 species